rnacentral:rRNA from 1 species
UACAGAGGUGGCAAGCGUUGUUCGGAAUUACUGGGCGUAAAGGGCGCGUAGGCGGUUCGUUAAGUCCUGUGUGAAAUCCCCCGGCUCAACUGGGGAACUGCACAGGAAACUAGCGGGCUUGAGUUCGGGAGAGGGAAGCGGAAUUCCGGGUGUAGCGGUGAAAUGCGUAGAUAUCCGGAGGAACACCGGUGGCGAAGGCGGCUUCCUGGACCGACACUGACGCAGG